rnacentral:lncRNA from 1 species
CCUUUUAAAGAAAUAGCCUAUAAUUUUUAAAGGAAUGUGAUAAAUGUAUUCAUAUUACGAUUUAUAUUUGCAAUACCACAUUUUAAUUGCUAUGAGUAUUUCAAUCUUCACUCUUCGUGGCACUUGUAAAUUCUAUCGACCUCAAAUUUUUGCACGGAUGAUGUGAUGAACAGAUCUUGACUUAACUCGUGUCCAAACGUAAAGC